AGGGAACUGAAACAUCUCAGUACCUGGAGGAAAGGACAUCAACCGAGACUCCCGUAGUAGUGGCGAGCGAACCGGGACCAGGCCAGUGCCUUCGUGAAAUAAAGUCGAACGAUCUGGAAAGGUCGGCCAUAGCGGGUGAUAGCCCCGUAGACGUCAAACAGCGAAGGACUCGAGUAGGGCGGGACACGUGAAAUCCUGUCUGAACAUGGGGGGACCACCCUCCAAGCCUAAGUACUCCUCUACGACCGAUAGUGAACAAGUACCGUGAGGGAAAGGUGAAAAGCACCCCGACAAGGGGAGUGAAACAGAUCCUGAAAUCGGAAGCCUACAAGCAGUCGGAGCCCCCGAGCGGGGUGACGGCGUACCUUUUGUAUAAUGGGUCAGCGACUUCAUGUGCCGAGCAAGCUUAAGCCGUUAGGCGUAGGCGCAGCGAAAGCGAGUCUGAAUAGGGCGAAGAGUUCGUUGCAUGACGACCCGAAACCAGGUGAUCUAUCCAUGAGCAGGUUGAAGGUGAGGUAACACU
rnacentral:rRNA from 1 species